rnacentral:lncRNA from 1 species
AAUCUGUCUGCAUAUUGCCAUGCUCCCUACCAUGACAAUGGACUAACCCUCUGAAACAGUUGUGGCAAGAAUGGCAUCUUCAGUCCUCCUCAAGCCAGCUCAUGACAACAUCAAUAUCAAUAUUUUUCAGAGGACACACAGAUGAAAUGUUUCCUUUGAAAUUAAAUAUUUUCUUCCUGGGACAAUUUCCCUUUGGGUAUUGGGAGAGCUCAGUUUGCAGUCCGUCAUCCAGGGAAGCCUGGGCAGGAACUCAAGGCAGGAACCUGGAGGCAGGAGCUAAAGCAGCGAAUGUGGAGGAAGACCUUGUAUGGUGCUGGUUGUUGGUGGCACACGCCUUUAAUCCCAGCACUCGGGAGGCAGAGGCAGGUGGAUCUCUGUGAGUUCGAGGCCAGCCUGGUCUACAGAGCGAGUUCCAGGACAGGCUCCAAAGCAAUACAGAGAAACCCUGUCUCGAAAAAAAGGAAAAAAAAAAAAAAAAAGACUCGGUAUAGUUUGUUUCACUGCUCAUGUUUAGCUACCUCUUCUCUACAG